GGCCGGGAGGAGAGCGAGGCGUGAUCGAAGGGUAUGGUUGGCAUGGAAUUGAAUUUCAUCUGUCUGUGGGAAUUGUAAACAAGAAAUGAUUCAUCCUAAUGGUCAUGAACAUUAGUUUUUGAAGAAGUGCAGAAAUUGUUGCCAUCACGAAAGCCAAGGUGGAUUUCUCCAGUGUAGUGUGCCUGCCCCCUUCCGUCAUUGCUGUGAAUGGGCUGGACGGAGG